GGAAUCCGUUUCCUCUCCGCAUCAGUGGCAGAGAUGUCCCUGCCCCAACCGACAGGGUCUCACUGUGUCACCAAGGCUGGCUCAAUCACGGCUCACUGCAGCCUCGACCUCCUGUGUUCAAGCGAUCCUCCUGCCUCAGCCUCCCGAGUAGCUGGGACUAUAGGGGUGCACCACCAUGCCCAGAGCAGCCUUCCAAACAGAAUGUUGUCCAUUCACCUUGGAACUGCCAUCCACAAACCAAGCUGUUUGCUGGCCAGUUGAGAGCCGUUAUGGGACACUGUAGAAGCCAGCAGCUCCUCACGCAAACCAGUCCUAGCAGAAAAGAGGCUCCUUUCUUUUAUCUCCUCCUGGCACUCCCCAGGUAGCAUGCUUCUGU
ensembl:lncRNA novel transcript, antisense to IFI6